UGCUGUGUAUCUCGCCACUGGUACACUGAAUAGUAUCUUCCUUCAGACAGGGAUUGAGAAACGGAAAUACCACCACCCUCGAGCCAAACUUGUGAGGACUGAUUGCAGGGGAACUGGUGCUCCAGAUGUUGCACUAGAGGCGCUGCGAGUGUGAGCAGGUGGCAGUAGACCUGCAUCGCAGGUUGUAGCAGAUGUUCUCAACAUUUCUCUUGAAAUUUCCUCAUCUCCGUUUGCAAGAGGAGCCCCAGAGCCUCAUCCCUGUGGUAGCUACCAUGUUCUGGUAUAAGCUGUUAUUCACCAGGGAGCUUUGGCAAGAGAAUGGCUGUAUCAGGAAGUCCAUCUCCACCGUGGAAAAACAACUUGAAGCUUGUCUUUAUUGAUGGGAACAAUAUGACCUGUAACCUGGAGGGAUACACCAUUUCUAGUCUGAGACACACAGAAAUACCGUGGAGAAUUGACUCCUAACAGCAAGGUGUACUGUCUGUAGGAUGGAGAUAGACUGAAUACCCGCUUCGCUGAAUACCGGCUUCAGAUCACCUUUCACAUUUUCUUUUUGGAAAGGCAACUGUUGGAGAAUCAUCUUGUUACCGUCAGCAAAAAUGGAAACAAAUCAAGACAUUAAGAAUGCCACGGUGAAGGACUUCCCUGGUGGCCCAGUGGUUAAGAAUCCACCUGCCAAUGCAGGGGACACGGUUUAAUCCCUGGUCCAGGAGAUCCCACAU